UACGUAGGGUCCGAGCGUUGUCCGGAAUUACUGGGCGUAAAGAGCUCGUAGGUGGUUUUGUCGCGUUGUUCGUGAAAAACUCACAGCUCAACUGUGGGCGUGCGGGCGAUACGGGCAGACUAGAGUACUGCAGGGGAGACUGGAAUUCCUGGUGUAGCGGUGAAAUGCGCAGAUAUCAGGAGGAACACCGGUGGCGAAGGCGGGUCUCUGGGCCGAUACUGACGCUGAGGAGCGAAAGCGUGGGGGAGCGAACAGG
rnacentral:rRNA from 1 species